GGGGCCUUAGCUCAGUUGGUAGAGCGCUGCCUUUGCAAGGCAGAUGUCAGGAGUUCGAAUCUCCUAGGCUCCACCA
rnacentral:tRNA from 33 species